GAGGGAUGAGUGGGACAAGCUGGCGCGCUGGGCCGUCAUGCACCGCGUGCACUCCCCCAACGUGCGCUGGCUGGUGCAGGUGCCCCGCCUCUUGUGAGUGUCCCUGGAGUGGGAGGGGAACCUGCGGGGUCAUAUUCAAGGGGUCAGGGCCUGCCUCCUGCCCUCCUAGGAUGGCUGAGCCUCCCUUGUCCCUGCCAACCCCUCUGAGUGCAAGGAAGGGCUUCCUGGUCCCAUCCAUGGUCUGUCCAGCCUGGCCCACCUGGGUAUCCUUGCUUUCCCAAUAUGGUUCAGAUGCGCCCCUGCGCUCUUGGGCCAAGCUCUGACCCUUGCUGGACCGCUGGGUUUCCUCCCACUGGCCCUGACUUGCACAUACCUGCAUGUUGUCUCACCUGCAGUGAUGUGUACCGUACCAAGGGCCAGCUGGCCAACUUCCAGGAGAUGCUGGAGAACAUCUUCCUGCCACUGUUCGAGGCCACUGUGCACCCUGCCAGCCACCCAGAACUGCAUCUCUUCUUAGAGCACGUGGAUGGUUUUGACAGCGUGGAUGAUGAGUCCA
rnacentral:sRNA from 1 species